rfam:Loxodonta africana unplaced genomic scaffold scaffold_3, whole genome shotgun sequence.
ACAGUGGUGAUUUAGUGUUAAAAUUCUCACCUUCCAUGUGGGAGGCCUGGGUUUGAUUCCUGGCCAAUGUA